UACCAGCUCUCCGAGUGGUAGGGAUGAUUAUUGGGCUUAAAGCGUCCGUAGCCGGCUUAGCAAGUUUCCUGUUAAAUUCAGCGACCUAAUCGUUGAGCCGCGGGAAAUACUACUAGGCUAGGAGGCGGGAGAGGUCGACGGUACUUCUGGGGUAGGGGUGAAAUCCUAUAAUCCCGGGAGGACCACCAGUGGCGAAGGCUGUCGACUAGAACGCGCUCGACGGUGAGGGACGAAAGCUGGGGGGAGCGAACCGGAUUAGAUACCUGGGCAGUCCCAGCUGUAAACGAUGCGGGCUAGGUGUUGGGGUGGCUACGUGCCACUUCAGUGCCGCAGGGAAGCCAUUAAGCCCGCCGCCUGGGGAGUACGGCCGCAAGGCUGAAACUUAAAGGAAUUGGCGGGGGAGCACCACAAGGCGUGAAGCUUGCGGUUC
rnacentral:rRNA from 1 species